GGAGACGAUAAAGUGAGCUCAACCUUAAACAUGUGGAGAGAACGUUUGACCAACAGUCCUGGGACGACUACAGAACAAUGGACCAGCUCACAGGCACAACAGACUGCAGAGCAAUCAAGGCACCAGUUAAACGUCCAUGUGCCCGGCUUACAGCCAAUGAACAAUCAGUACGGUCCCCAUUGUCCCCACCAACAUCACUGUACUGGAAAGACUGUGCUGCCAUAGUCAGAGAUGAACUGGUACUAAAAUGUAAGGCAGCUAAUGUGUGUGGCAUCAGCAGCACAAAUGCAUCAUGGCUGCAACGCUGCAGUGUGUUUAAACAUUUGAACAUUUCUGUGGCUUCAAACCAGCAGCUCCUCUGUACUCAGUCAUGUUUGUGUGUCUGUCAAAGUGAUUGUUGUCUUUAAAAAGCCUUUUGUGUUUGAGUUUUGUGAGCAGUGCCGAGCUUCUCUUUAGUCUAAGGUGAGUCGAUAUAUUUGAUUCCAUUGGUGUGAUUUUCAAAGUCAGCAGCAGCAAACGCUGAACAAGCAAAGUUUGGGCCCAUCAGCGACAGCAGUGGAUCUACUGACCUGUAGGUGUUGGAGGUGUUUGUGUGCAGCUGUGGGUGAGUCAGCUUUAUUUCACUUAUUGAUGACAGAGCGCUGUUAGCUUUGAGAGGAUCCACUGAGCUGUUUCAUCUACUCGGGGCGACCGUGGCUCAGGGGGUUGGGAAGCGUACCUGUAACCGGAAGGUCACCAGUUCGAUCCCCGCCUCUCUGUCCUGGUCGUUGUGUCUUGGGCAAGACACUUUACCCUACCGCCUACUGGUGUUGGCCAGAGGGGCUGAUGGCGUGAUAUGGCAGUCUCGCUUCUGUCAGUCUGCCCCAGGGCAGCUGUGGCUACAACCGUAGCUUGCCUCCACCAGUGCGUGAAUGAAUAAUGGCAUUGUAAAGCGCUUUGGGUGCCUUGAAAAGCGCUAUAUAAAUCCAAUCCAUUAUUAUUAUUAUUAUUACUCUGUCUCUGCCAGCAAGCAGAGCCCA
rnacentral:lncRNA from 1 species